rnacentral:rRNA from 1 species
CCUACGGGAGACAGCAGUGGGGGAUAUUGCACAAUGGGGGGAACCCUGAUGCAGCGACGCCGCGUGGGUGAAGAAGCGCCUCGGCGCGUAAAGCCCUGUCAGCAGGGAAGAAAAUGACGGUACCUGAAGAAGAAGCCCCGGCUAACUACGUGCCAGCAGCCGCGGUCAUACGGAGGGGGCAAGCGUUCUCCGGAUUUACUGGGUGUAAAGGGGGCGCAGACGGCGAUGCAAGCCAGGAGUGAAAGCCCGGGGCCCAACCCCGGGACUGCUCUUGGAACUGCGUGGCUGGAGUGCAGGAGGGGCAGGAGGAAUGCCUGGUGUAGCGGUGAAAUGCGUAGAUAUCAGGAGGAACACCGGUGGCGAAGGCGGCCUGCUGGACUGCAACUGACGUUGAGGCCCGAAGGCCAGGGGAGCGAAAGGGAUUAGAUACGCCUGUAGUC